rnacentral:rRNA from 1 species
GACAGAGGGUGCAAACGUUGUUCGGAAUUACUGGGCGUAAAGCGCGUGUAGGCGGCCCUGCAAGUCGGAUGUGAAAUCCCACGGCUCAACCGUGAAAGUGCAUUCGAAACUGCAGGGCUAGAGUCCUGGAGAGGAAGGUGGAAUGCUUGGUGUAGAGGUGAAAUUCGUAGAUAUCAAGCGGAACACCGGUGGCGAAGGCGGCCUUCUGGACAGUGACUGACGCUGAGGAGCGAAAGCAUGGGGAGCGAACAGG